rnacentral:tmRNA from 2 species
GGGGAUGUACCGGUUUCGACGAGGCGACGGAAACACGAAGAUGCAUGCCGAGCUACGCUGGUGGAGCUCGUUAAUACAACUGGCGAACAAAGACUAGGCGAUAACUUCGGUUAUCGCAUGGCUGCCUAACCCAGGUACCCAUGCCAUCGGACGGAUGACUGCCUGUCGUCCUCCACUCCGGUGACGCUUCUGACAGGCUGGCGUGAAGUCGUGCAUCAGGGCAUAGCGCAAGAUUUUUCUGAUGAUCGUGGAUAGCGACCUGUCGAUGGGUGAACGCAUCCGCUAAACUUCUACAUCGACUACGCAUGGAGUAAGCUUCGGUAACUGCGCUUCGGACCCGGGUUCGACUCCCGGCAUCUCCACAG